rnacentral:rRNA from 1 species
UACAGAGGUCCCGAGCGUUGUUCGGAUUCAUUGGGCGUAAAGGGUGCGUAGGCGGCGGGGCCAGUCUGAUGUGAAAUCCCGGGGCUCAACCCCGGAACUGCAUUGGAUACUGCCUUGCUCGAGUACUGGAGAGGGAACUGGAAUUUACGGUGUAGCAGUGAAAUGCGUAGAGAUCGUAAGGAAGGCCAGUGGCGAAGGCGAGUUCCUGGACAGUAACUGACGCUGAGGCACGAAGGCCAGGGGAGCAAACGGG